rnacentral:rRNA from 1 species
AUGAACGCUAGCUACAGGCUUAACACAUGCAAGUCGAGGGGAAACGAUAUUGGAAGCUUGCUUCCGAUAGGCGUCGACCGGCGCACGGGUGAGUAACGCGUAUCCAACCUGCCCACCACUUGGGGAUAACCUUGCGAAAGUAAGACUAAUACCCAAUGAUAUCUCUAGAAGACAUCUGAAAGAGAUUAAAGAUUUAUCGGUGAUGGAUGGGGAUGCGUCUGAUUAGCUUGUUGGCGGGGUAACGGCCCACCAAGGCAACGAUCAGUAGGGGUUCUGAGAGGAAGGUCCCCCACAUUGGAACUGAGACACGGUCCAAACUCCUACGGGAGGCAGCAGUGAGGAAUAUUGGUCAAUGGACGAGAGUUUGAACCAGCCAAGUAGCGUGCAGGAAGACGGCCCUAUGGGUUGUAAACUGCUUUUAUAAGGGAAUAAAGUGAGAGUCGUGACUCUUUUUGCAUGUACCUUAUGAAUAAGGACCGGCUAAUUCCGUGCCAGCAGCCGCGGUAAUACGGAAGGUCCGGGCGUUAUCCGGAUUUAUUGGGUUUAAAGGGAGCGUAGGCCGGAGAUUAAGCGUGUUGUGAAAUGUAGAUGCUCAACAUCUGAACUGCAGCGCGAACUGGUUUCCUUGAGUACGCACAAAGUGGGCGGAAUUCGUGGUGUAGCGGUGAAAUGCUUAGAUAUCACGAAGAACUCCGAUUGCGAAGGCAGCUCACUGGAGCGCAACUGACGCUGAAGCUCGAAAGUGCGGGUAUCGAACAGGAUUAGAUACCCUGGUAGUCCGCACGGUAAACGAUGGAUGCCCGCUGUUGGUCUGAAUAGGUCAGCGGCCAAGCGAAAGCAUUAAGCAUCCCACCUGGGGAGUACGCCGGCAACGGUGAAACUCAAAGGAAUUGACGGGGACCCGCACAAGCGGUGGAGCAUGUGGUUUAAUUCGAAGCAACGCGAAGAACCUUACCAGGUCUUGACAUCCUUCUGACCGCACCUUAAUCGGUGCUUUCCUUCGGGACAGAAGAGACAGGUGGUGCAUGGUUGUCGUCAGCUCGUGCCGUGAGGUGUCGGCUUAAGUGCCAUAACGAGCGCAACCCCUCUCCUUAGUUGCCAUCAGGUGAAGCUGGGCACUCUGGGGACACUGCCACCGUAAGGUGUGAGGAAGGUGGGGAUGACGUCAAAUCAGCACGGCCCUUACGUCCGGGGCUACACACGUGUUACAAUGGCAGGUACAGAGAGACGGUCCCUUGCAAAAUGGAUCAAAUCCUUAAAGCCUGUCUCAGUUCGGACUGGGGUCUGCAACCCGACCCCACGAAGCUGGAUUCGCUAGUAAUCGCGCAUCAGCCAUGGCGCGGUGAAUACGUUCCCGGGCCUUGUACACACCGCCCGUCAAGCCAUGAAAGCCGGGGGCGCCUAAAGUCCGUGACCGUAAGGAGCGGCCUAGGGCGAAACUGGUAAUUGGGGCU